UACGUAGGGUGCAAGCGUUAUCCGGAAUUAUUGGGCGUAAAGAGCUCGUAGGCGGUUUGUCACGUCUGCUGUGAAAACUGGAGGCUCAACCUCCAGCCUGCAGUGGGUACGGGCAGACUAGAGUGCGGUAGGGGAGAUUGGAAUUCCUGGUGUAGCGGUGGAAUGCGCAGAUAUCAGGAGGAACACCGAUGGCGAAGGCAGAUCUCUGGGCCGUAACUGACGCUGAGGAGCGAAAGCUGGGGGAGCAAACGGG
rnacentral:rRNA from 1 species